AUGGCUGGCGUCAGCUCGUGUCGUGAGAUGGUGGGUUAAGUCCCGCAACGAGCGCAACCCUUGUCCUAUGUUGCCAGCGGGUUAUGCCGGGGAUUCGUAGGAGACUGCCGGGGUCAACUCGGAGGAAGGUGGGGAUGACGUCAAGUCAUCAUGCCCCUUAUGUCCAGGGCUGCAAACACGCUACAAUGGCCGGUACAAAGGGCUGCAAACUCGCGAGGGUGAGCGAAUCCCAUAAAGCCGGUCUCAGUUCGGAUUGAAGGCUGCAACUCGCCUUCAUGAAGCUGGAGUUGCUAGUAAUCCCGGAUCAGCACGCCGGGGUGAAUACGUUCCCGGGCCUUGUACACACCGCCCGUCACAUCACGAAAGUUGGCAACACCCGAAGCCGGUGGCCUAACCGCAAGGAAGGAGCCGUCGAAGGUGGGGUCGGUAAUUGGGAUGAAGUCGUAACAAGGUAGCCGUACCGGAAGGUGCGGCUGGAUCACCUCCUUU
rnacentral:rRNA from 1 species